CCCGCAAAGCCUCUUUUUAAUGCUUAAAUCGGCGGGU
rnacentral:ncRNA from 1 species